CAACUACUAAAGCCGAAGAUUGUCAGCAGAAGUCAGCUUUUGAGGGCUCUUUCAUGUAGUGCACCAGGUGUAUUACUACUCUGCGCAAGUCAAGUCUAGGGCGCUGACCAUUCUGCCACUGGUCUGCUGGAUGUGUGGGGAAACAAACACGCUUCCCAUCCCUCCAGAGAAACUGCAAGAGUUUCAGUGCAUUCACCCAGUGUGCCAGGUGUGCAAAGCUGGUGUUGGAGAGCGUACAAGAGUGAAGAGAAAGC